UACGAAGGGGGCUAGCGUUGUUCGGAAUUACUGGGCGUAAAGCGCGCGCAGGCGGCUAUCCAAGUCAAUGGUGAAAGCCCGGAGCUCAACUCCGGAACUGCCAUUGAAACUGUUUAGCUUGAGGAUGAGAGAGGUGAGUGGAAUUCCCAGUGUAGAGGUGAAAUUCGUAGAUAUUGGGAAGAACACCGGUGGCGAAGGCGGCUCACUGGCUCAUUACUGACGCUCAGGCGCGACAGCGUGGGGAUCAAACAGG
rnacentral:rRNA from 1 species